AAAAUUAAAAAAAAAGGAAAAUGCAUAGGAAACAUUUUAUAUUUACGGAUUUUCAUGCAUGUUAUUGGUAUUCUAAAUACAAUUGGCUUAGAUUCGCUUAAUAAGGUUAAGGAGGGGAAACUUAAUUAUUUUCCUUUGAAUUAAAAAUUAAAAAAAAAUAUGUACAAAUGCAUAGCAAACGUUAUCUAUGGAUUGUAAUGCAUGUUAUUGGAAAUCUAAAUACAUUUGGAUUAGAUUCGCUUAACCUUAGGGGAAACCUAUUUAAUCUCGUCCAGCUCUGGACCACAUCAACAUUCGUAAUCAUGAGGUUGAUGUGCUUGGUUGUUAUGACUAUUCUAGCUAUGGUUAACUUAGGAGACGCACUGGAGUUACGACCCAUAGGAAAAGCGCACGGCGGAUGUCGUGGGAACUGUGGUGGGUAAUUACCCACCUGAAAAACAGAGAUGAGAACGACAACCAUCCCCCCUCGCUCAUCGUCUGUCCUAAAAAUUACCCACCUGAAAUUAAAAUUUCGCCGGCCCUGUUUGCCUGUAAAAAUAGUAUAUUCACGAUUUUGCAGAGACCAAAUUGCUGACGAGUUUUGAAGAAAAAAAUAUACAAGUAAAACAAAAUUAAUAAAAUGUAAUUAAACAAAGUAAACAAAAGCAAA